rnacentral:rRNA from 1 species
UACGUAGGGUGCGAGCGUUGUCCGGAAUUAUUGGGCGUAAAGAGCUCGUAGGCGGUCUGUCGCGUCGAUCGUGAAAACUUGGGGCUCAACCCCAAGCCUGCAGUCGAUACGGGCAGACUAGAGUGCGGUAGGGGAGACUGGAAUUCCUGGUGUAGCGGUGAAAUGCGCAGAUAUCAGGAGGAACACCGGUGGCGAAGGCGGGUCUCUGGGCCGUAACUGACGCUGAGGGGCGAAAGCGUGGGGAGCGAACAGG